GCUGAAAUUGGUUAAUGUUUUCCCCUUGCUUUUAUCCAAUACUAGUACUGUGUACUUAUGUACUAAAUAAUGUGCCUUUAUGUGUGUAGGUUACAGUUGGGUGGCGAGCAUUAAAUGAGUUUAAAACCGAAAAUAAAAUAUAGUUUAUACUUUGAAAAUAAAUGUUGAUUCCACACUGUAAAUUGAUAGUGUGAACUGCAUAUAAUAUCGUACAAGCGUAUAAAAAGUGUAUGGGCACCUCAAAUAUUGAAGCGAUACAUUGUGGACAGGUGUUAUCGAUUUUGCUUGUUUGCUCCCAUUCGUGAUACGUUAAUAUCGUAAAACGGUCCUGCCACCCCAAAAAAAAAUUCGCUCGCUAACGUUGAGGUGGUUGCUACGUCAAAGGUUCACGCAAAAUGAUUGUUCUGAUUCGCAUCGAAAACCUUAUGUAAAGCAUGGCAUAGUUUGUUUCAUUUUUACAACGUGUUUUCGCGGUAUCAAACAAGAACGGUGAUAAUAAUCGAUAAACGUGAUACGAAGUAUCAUAAUAUUCCUUAUGUCGAUUACCGUAUUUUUGCGCAUCGCAAUCAUUUUUUAAACUGAGAUUGCGAGGCAUGAACCAAUUAGAACAGACCGGUCGAGAAGCAGCCAUUUGUGCGUUGAUGACCGUCGAGUAGAGCAGUAUUUAUAAUUUGCAUAAAAGCCAUACUUUGUGAUAGCAAUUGAGAAAAUUAUGCCUCGUCUUCAUAUUCUUUGUUUACCUUUAAAAGAAAAUAACAUGGCGUCGAAAUUACAAACGUCAGCCAGAAAAUUACUUUUUUUCUUUUGCUUCAUCUUGUCGGAUCUUGUGUAGUUCGACGGAUUGAGUAAAAAUCCCCAAUGACGCAAGCUUAACGUAAGCAUUUGGUCUCGAAUACAACAGAUGGCGCCAUUGCUAAUUCAUGAAUGGCAAUAUCCUGAAUGGCUGAAAAGUCAUUCAAGAAAUAAACUAUCACGAGGAGAAACGGUUUCAGACGCUUGCCUGCAUCGAUUUGCAACCCUUUGCCUUGAGCACACAGCACGGAUUAAUGCUCUGUAAACGGAUAAAAAGAAGAUGCCCGAAGUGUAAGUGGUUCUGUAUGUAUAUUCUGCGGUUUCCGUGGUUUCAACAUGAAGGAAUUAAUCUCGCUGGUGCUACUAUGAUUGUCAAAAAUUUUGUGUCGACAAAUGCGGCCAUGAAGGUGUGCCGGUGUCAGCGUCGCAGUGCAUUAAAUCUAUGGACGUUAUAUUGUUGCUUCCAAUACCAGCACAUGUUAAAGCCGCCCUAGAAGCACUCAAUAAGGAUUAUAUAAUCCGUUUAAUGAAAUUAAUGCACCAGCACGGUGCCCGGUUUGACUGGUUUCCACCACUUUAUUGUAGGAAUUCCUUGCAAAUACAUCAUAUUUUACGGAAAAGUAAGCACAUAAAAUAUUGAGCAUCAGCUGUAUAUA